rnacentral:SRP_RNA from 1 species
GCGGGGCAAGGUGGCAUGUGCAUGGUGUGUGCCUGUAGUCCCAGCAUCUAAGGAGGCCGAGGUGGGAGGAUCGCUCGAGCCCAGGAGUUCUGGGCUGUAGUAUGCCGAUCAGCUGUCCACACUAAGUUCGGCAUCAAUAUGGUGACCUCCCAGGAGCGUGGGACCACCACCAGGUUGCCUAAGGAGGGGUGAACUGGCCCAGGUUGGAAACGGAGCAGGUCAAAACUCCAGUGCUGAUCAGUAGUGGGAUAACCACUGCCCUCCAGCCCAGGCAAUAUUGCAAGACCCGUCUCU